rnacentral:rRNA from 1 species
UUGAACGCUGGCGGCAUGCCUUACACAUGCAAGUCGAACGGUAACAGGUCUUCGGAUGCUGACGAGUGGCGAACGGGUGAGUAAUACAUCGGAACGUGCCCGAUCGUGGGGGAUAACGGAGCGACAGCUUUGCUAAUACCGCAUACGAUCUACGGAUGAAAGCAGGGGACCGCAAGGCCUUGCGCGGACGGAGCGGUCGAUGGCAGAUUAGGUAGUUGGUGGGAUAAAAGCUUACCAAGCCGACGAUCUGUAGCUGGUCUGAGAGGACGACCAGCCACACUGGGACUGAGACACGGCCCAGACUCCUACGGGAGGCAGCAGUGGGGAAUUUUGGACAAUGGGCGCAAGCCUGAUCCAGCCAUGCCGCGUGCAGGAUGAAGGCCUUCGGGUUGUAAACUGCUUUUGUACGGAACGAAACGGCCGGCUUUAAUAAAGUCGGCUAAUGACGGUACCUGCAGAAGAAGCACCGGCUAACUACGU